AGUGAACGCUGGCGGUAGGCCUAACACAUGCAAGUCGAACGGCAGCACAGUAAGAGCUUGCUCUUACGGGUGGCGAGUGGCGGACGGGUGAGGAAUACAUCGGAAUCUACUUUUUUGUGGGGGAUAACGUAGGGAAACUUACGCUAAUACCGCAUACGACCUACGGGUGAAAGCAGGGGAUCUUCGGACCUUGCGCGAUUGAAUGAGCCGAUGUCGGAUUAGCUAGUUGGCGGGGUAAAGGCCCACCAAGGCGACGAUCCGUAGCUGGUCUGAGAGGAUGAUCAGCCACACUGGAACUGAGACACGGUCCAGACUCCUACGGGAGGCGGCAGUGGGGAAUAUUGGACAAUGGGCGCAAGCCUGAUCCAGCCAUACCGCGUGGGUGAAGAAGGCCUUCGGGUUGUAGAGCCCUUUUGUUGGGAAAGAAAAGCAGCAGGUUAAUACCCCGCUGUUCUGACGGUACCCAAAGAAUAAGCACCGGCUAACUUCGUG
rnacentral:rRNA from 1 species